rnacentral:rRNA from 1 species
GUGCCAGCAGCCGCGGUAAUACGUAGGUGGCGAGCGUUGUCCGGAAUUAUUGGGCGUAAAGGGAGCGCAGGCGGUCUAAUAAGUCUGAUGUGAAAGGUCAUAGCUCAACUAUGGACGUGCAUCAGAAACUGUAAGACUUGAGUACUAGAGAGGGCAGUGGAACUCCAUGUGUAGCGGUGAAAUGCGUAGAUAUAUGGAAGAACAUCAGUGGCGAAGGCGGCUGUCUGGCUAGUAACUGACGUUCAUGCUCGAAAGCGUGGGUAGCAAACAGGAUUAGAUACCCUGGUAGUCCACGCCCUAAACGAUGACAAUUAGCUGUUGGGGUACUAGUUACCUUAGUAGCGAAGCUAACGCGUGAAAUUGUCCGCCUGGGGAGUACGGUCGCAAGAUUAAAACUCAAAGGAAUUGACGGGGACCCGCACAAGCGGUGGAUGAUGUGGAUUAA